rnacentral:rRNA from 1 species
CUACGGGAGACUGCAGUGAGGAAUUUUGCGCAAUGGGGGAAACCCUGACGCAGCAACGCCGCGUGAGCGAAGAAGGCCCUCGGGUCGUAAAGCUCUGUCAAGUGGGAAAAAAAUUUUUUGAUCGAUAGUCAAAAGACUUGAUGGUACCACUGGAGGAAGCACCGGCUAAUUCCGUGCCAGCAGCCGCGGUAAUACGGAGGGUGCGAGCGUUGUUCGGAUUUACUGGGCGUAAAGAGCGUGUAGGCGGUUCAGCAAGUCAGAUGUGAAAGCCCUGGGCUCAACCCGGGAAGUGCAUUUGAAACUGCUUCACUAGAGUAUGGGAGAGGAGAUUGGAAUUCCUGGUGUAGAGGUGAAAUUCGUAGAUAUCAGGAGGAACACCCGUGGCGAAGGCGAUUCUCUGGACCAAUACUGACGCUGAGACGCGAAAGCGUGGGGAGCAAACAGGAUUAGAUACCCCUGUAGUC